rnacentral:rRNA from 1 species
AUUGAACGCUGGCGGCAGGCCUAACACAUGCAAGUCGAGCGGUAGCACAGAGAGCUUGCUCUCGGGUGACGAGCGGCGGACGGGUGAGUAAUGUCUGGGAAACUGCCUGAUGGAGGGGGAUAACUACUGGAAACGGUAGCUAAUACCGCAUAACGUCGCAAGACCAAAGAGGGGGACCUUCGGGCCUCUUGCCAUCAGAUGUGCCCAGAUGGGAUUAGCUAGUAGGUGGGGUAACGGCUCACCUAGGCGACGAUCCCUAGCUGGUCUGAGAGGAUGACCAGCCACACUGGAACUGAGACACGGUCCAGACUCCUACGGGAGGCAGCAGUGGGGAAUAUUGCACAAUGGGCGCAAGCCUGAUGCAGCCAUGCCGCGUGUAUGAAGAAGGCCUUCGUGUUGUAAAGUACUUUCAGCGGGGAGGAAGGUGUUGAGGUUAGUAACCUCAGCAAUUGACGUUACCCGCAGAAGAAGCACCGGCUAACUUCGUGCCAGCCGCCGCAGUAA